UACAGAGGGGGCAAGCGUUAUUCGGAAUUAUUGGGCGUAAAGGGCGCGUAGGCGGCUUGGCAAGUGGAAGGUGAAAUCCCUCGGCUUAACCGAGGAACUGCCUUCCAGACUGCUUUGCUUGAGGCCGGGAGAGGCGAGUGGAAUUCCCAGUGUAGCGGUGAAAUGCGUAGAUAUUGGGAGGAACACCAGUGGCGAAGGCGGCUCGCUGGACCGGUUCUGACGCUGAGGCGCGAAAGCGUGGGAAGCAAGCGGG
rnacentral:rRNA from 1 species